UCAAGAUUCUUUAAAAAAUCAUGGAAUUUUUGUCAUAGUUUGAUCAUUUUAGCUUGAAUUUUGAGCUCAGAAAAACACAUCAGUGCUGAGAGCCAGAUGGAAUUACAGAGCUGUAUUGGAAUAGAGCUAGUAUAGUAAAAUAUUAAUAAGAGUGAUUUUAAUCUACUCUACAUUGCCAAGAACCCUUAGCUUGAGAGAAAGCUGUCAAAAAGAUGUGAUGUAGUACAAGUCGUAGCUGGAAUUGAGGAUGCUAAACAAAAUUAUAUGCAAAGCAGAACUAAAAUGACAUUUCUACAAUGGUAUCUAUGUGUGUGAAACCUAAAUUGAAGGUUAUGGAUGAAAUUCAAAACAACAGUACUGGCAGUGGUGUAAUUAUUGUGCUGAGCUAUUAUUGUAAACUCUUCAUUCAGCUGAGCCUUCCAGGGUACCACAUAUAAUGAAGUUUAGAUACUCUUACUUAAUUUAAAGCUGCAUGUGCAUAAGGGUCAAUUCCUUUUGGCAAUGCUGCCAAGUGGUGUUGAAUAUUAAAAGGGAGCAGCAGGCUUUAGGAAGUCAUGGUGUUAGAAGUGAGUCACUUCAGUGGAUCCUCUUGGAUUUAGAGCUGGUUUUAAAGCGUAGAAGGAAGUUAAGAGUGAUACCGUCUCUCAUGGUUCAUGGGGGUAUGAGAUGAGGUAUGGAUGACCCUCAGCUGUGUAGAGACAUCUGAGAGCUGCACCUACCCAAAAUUCAGCUGGACAAGAUGUCCCUCCAUGGCCACUCGGAUUCAGUGCUUUGCUGGAAUUCCCUAAGGCAAUGAAAGCAAAAACAAACCCCAGAAGCCUACAACUUCCUCCAGCUUUUCAGAGUACAAGUGAAAUGACAGGAUUUUCUUCCAGGAGUAAAGUUGAAAGUAAAGGAAGAUGAGAAUUUCUCUCCCUUCGGAAAAGAGAAUCAAAAGAGAACACUGGUCAUUUUGUGAAGGUUUUUCUACAUAGAAAGAAGCUCUCUGCUGCUCUGCUUUGUUUUGCAGCAGUAUUUUCCACAGAGAUCUGCCAUCCCCUACAACUAUUAAUGUCUCAGUGUUGACCAGUGCCGUGCUGCUGAUUCCCAGAGUAUGUGCAGGAGCUUCAGACUUCUAUCUUUCAAAUUAUUCUUCAGCUGGCCGGUAUUUACUGUGGGAAAGAUGCUGUGUAAUAGUUCUGCUGCUCUGUGAUUCUUCAUGAAGCUGUAAAUCUGAGAUGUGCCUGUCCUGAUUCACAUGGUCUGUAGUCAGUAUCUGUCAACAAAGAACUGCAAGUUUCACAUUCAUCUGGAGGAAACCCAGAGCAAUCAUAAGGAAAUACUUCUCAGAGCUUAAAAAAUAAAUAUUUGGACUGCAAAUUUUUUGGAAAGCUGAAAGUCGAAAGACAUGCAGUAUUGGCAGAACUGCUGCAGUUCUGGUGCAGAAGCCAGAGGCUCUGGGAGGGCUCUGACCCUUUCCCUCCCAUGAUUAGGAAGGAUCUCUUCCAUCAGCCAGAUUGAUUUGUGGCAGUCUGUAAUGACAGAAAUCCAGCAUCUUUGGCCAUACAUGGGACCUGAGAUACAGUCCACGGAAGCUGAUAAAAUAUAACUGGCUAGAGUAAUCUUCAGAACCUCUGAACUGAACACAGCAGAGACACACCAUGACUGAAGUUUCCAAGUCCCAGUGUAAGAGUCAAAACAGGUAUUGCUAUCCUAUUCCUGAAAAAAGAGCAAGACUAUUAUGACUUAACAAGAGAAAGACAAAGAUGCAUCCUCUCCUUACCAGUCCUUGUGCACUUGGCAGGCAACUUGCUCUUUGCCCCAGUUGUGUUGAGGACAAGGUAAGCAGGGAGAAUUCACCACACCUUCAAGAUGACUUCUGCUAACUCCAUGGCUUUGAAAUGAAUCUUGAGGGGAAGAGAGACUGGAUUUCUGAAAAAGGUUUCAAACACUUAAUCUCAUCUUCUCAGUGCUUCUGAGGAAUAAAAAUCAGUAAAUUCACAAUGUUAUUUGUGUUAGUAACAAUAAAGUCCAAGGAAGUAGAGCACACACCCACAGUAUAUAGACAGAGGCAUAGACUGUAAAAUGGAUUAAGUAAAUUGCCACAUGUUAAAGUUGGAAAUUGUAUCCAGCUCUCUUGUGUCCUACUCCAUGAGGCCUCUCACUUUUCCUCCUUUUGAAAUUAUUAGUGUUAUGAGGCAUGCUCAGCUUUCCUCUUCUUUCAUUGCCAGGACAGUGUUCACUGGAAAGGCUUUGUAACCUUGCAUGUUUGGCCAGGUCUUUAUAGUCCUGGGAGACAAAUUCAAGCAGAGCUUUGAAGGAGAUCUGCUUAGACUAAAAUCUCAAACUCAAAAUCAGGAAAACUCAAAACAACAAAGUAAGAGGAAAUGGAAAUAAAAUGGGCCUGUAAACUAGUGGCAUAUUCUAUGCCUGUCUUUCCAAGCUGUCUGUUGCUUUUAGGAUUAGCUUUUGUGUCUCCACAGCCUACUUAAGCUGCAACACAGUGUGCAGCUUCCAGCUUUGCCCCUCCUGUCCCUCGAGGCCCUUGGAGAUUCUUACCCUGAAUUUACUCAGCAGCUUUUGAGAAAUGAUGUUGCUUCCUCUCUUUUUCCCCAGCCCACUGAUUUCUGAAAGGAAUACAGCGUACAAUGAAGAACACAAAAAAUAAAUAGUCACAAUUUUCCCCUUGUAGAGGCCAUUUCUCAAGUUGGAAGGUAGAAAGGAUUGCUGUAUCUCAAGAAAAAAAUGUUACCUAUACAAACAAUGAGAAGAGGUCUCUUAUAGCUAUGGGGAAAGUAUUGAAAUAAAGGGGAAACAGUCUUCACCAGACAAGAGUGCCUUAUGGCAGCUUUCCACAGUACUUUCACUCCCUGUAACCUAUUGUGUUUCCCAGCCUCUGCAGAAACCAAAGCUCAUCUGUGCUUUCCCUGAGGUCUUCAAGAGGCCGAUUGUUUUUUUCAAGUACAAAGACCUAUUUCAUUUGGCUUUUAGGGGCUUUCAAUGGUGCUAUGAAGUCACUCAUAUAUUCAGAAAAGUACACCUGUAUAUCUCUGCAGGAUCAUGUUGUUUUAUUACUGCUACAGCACAGUGAAACUGCAUUUCAGAUCACUCCCAGGAAAAUCUGACUUUUGUUCCACAUAAAAGUAGGGUCUCCCAUAAACCAUAGCUCAGUUUAGAAGUGUAGUCAGGUACUGUUGCCCCUUACAAAGCAAGGAAGGCAGCCAAUAGUUUCACUCAAUCAGAACAAAAGCAAACAAAAACCCCUUCCCUGAAAGCCCACUGUAUCAGUGCAAUAAGCCUCAAGGCUUCAGUAACUUAUACUCCUCUCGAUUCUGUGUGACUUUGUCAGAGGAUUCAUUAGUUAACACUAAUGAGUGCUUGCCUACACACCCUCAUCUUCAUAACUAACACACCAGCACUUGUCUCAGAGCACUGCAGAGGCAUUACUGUGAUUUAUUAGACUGCAAAACAAAAGCAAUGUAAAAAUUAGUUAGGACGGAUACUGGGAGGAGAAAAAAUGUCAGACUCUGAUCUUGUGUGUUUCCUUAAGAAAGAAUGCAGCCAUUCUGUCCAAGUCAAGGUCCAUGUAUAUUCUUUGCUCUGUCUUUGUAUUCCGAAAUACCAUCUAGAACAUGCUGCAUUUUAUGACUGUGUGUUAAAAUUCUCUGUUAGUUUACACAAACAUUGGAGGAGCUGUCAAAAGUCUUUAAACUCAAGGUAAGGGCUGACAAACUGCAUAGCCAUAAGUCCAAAUACAGAGAAGAGUAGCAUUAACUCCAAUGAAACAGUGUAGAGAUUGCAAACUGAGGAAGUGCUUAAAUGCUCUGACGGAUCACCGCCUUCUUCUGCCCUGUUUUGCAUCAGACUAAUACAGCUGAACUGAACAGAAAAGGCAGAGUAAUGUAGCCAUAGUUCAUAGGCAGCCAGUGAACAUAUAACUUUCUAAGACAACUUCCUCUUUGGCUUGUGUCAGUCUCGGCAGCUUAGAUUAAGUAAAGGGAUUAUUUUGUAGCUUUAUGUCCCUGUGCUGCAAUCAGACCUGGAGAGAGUCUCUCAAAAGAAGUAUCUGAAUCACCAGAGCCAUUUUGAGUCACUGUCCCUGCAGGAAAGACAGUAAGUGCUGUGGUACAGAAAGCUGCUCGCAGGGUAAUCAGGUGCUAAAAAGGGACUGAUGCUGAAAGCCCCGAUUGGCAUUAACAUUCAUCUCCAAAAUACAUGCUCAUAACUAGCUUCCAUUUUUAAGGGCUUAUGUGAAGUAGGCACCUCACAACAGCCCAUUCCACAUGGCAAAGGUAUAGCUCAAGAAAAGUUUAAAGAGAUAAAGAUAAGACAGUAGUGAAUUAUUUUGUCACUUUUCUCAUGUUGUUCUGUAAACAAUGGACAAGUUGCUUAAAUACAUUGUUUGGUAAGUAUUUUGAUGUCUAAUCAUUAUUUUUGCAGGUUUGGCUAUUAGAUAGGUAUAGUCUCUGGAUGUGCUGCAGUUGCCAUCAAAUAGAGAAAAAUUAAUUCUCAACUAUAGCUUUUUUUGUACCACACAAACAGAAGUAAAUUUAAUUGGGUUCAACUUUGGUUGCCUUUUCAAUAAUUUUCAUGUAGGGGCAAGGAUUUAUUUCUGAAUUCUUUGUGAAAAUAAAAAAGCAAACCCAAGAAAAUAACAGAUAAUAUGAAAGUUAAAUCACAAGGCAAAAUGUAAAAAGAGUUGAUCCUAUAAACUUUCCAAGAAUAUAGUGGAGUUAUAAAGAGGAGGACUGGACUGACCACUAAUACAUUCAGGCAAAACUAUUAAUGAAGAGACAUGGAAUUUUUUUUACUUCAAAAACACUGAACAUGCACAUUUGGAAAGUUCUGCUGUUUCUUUAAACCGUACUUAUGAAAAAAAAAACCCACCACAUUUAUAAAUAUACAAUGUGAUAUCUGAUAAAUUCAACAAAAGCAGUUUUGUAUCUAUUGCAGAGAUAGGGCCAAGCCUGACAUUUAAAUGAAUGCCUAGAGCAGUAGACUGAAGAGAGUAGGUAGACAGCUAUAUCCAUCGCCAGCUUUCUUCCUUCUGACCUGUCUUUUAGAGCAGUCAGAUUUGGAAAAAAAGAACAGAGUUUUUUGUUUGUGUGGGGCUUUUUUUGUUUUGGUUUUGUUUUUUUUUGCAAGAGAGAAGACUAAUAAAUGAACUCUUUUUGCCUUGUUAAAAAUAGGGUUGCCAGAUCUUAAUUUAUAUUAUCACCAUCCAUUUUUAUUUUCAGCUCUAGUGCAAUACUUUGAGAAUAGUUGGAAUAAGCAAAGUAAAGCUUCAAGCUAAAGAAAAGGUCAUUCUGUAGCAAUAAAUAUUAAAAACAUGAGUUAAAGCUUGUACCAUAAAGCCUCCUUUGUGCUUUUUUGGUAGUGGUAAAGGUUAUUAAAGACACAGAAAGAGUCCUAAAUGUUACCCAUUUGGAAAAGAAGACAACGUAAUUGGAUCAGCAUUGCUCCACAGCAGUGUAGAAAGCAGCAGGAAUGAAUUUCUUCAAAAAAUAAUGGAGUAUGCAAAGAAGAUGAGAGUGACAACCUUCAAACCAUUCAGGGGAAGGCUGGCCCAAAAGGCUGCAGGGCUGUGGGGCACAAGACUGCCCAUGCACGCUGCGCAGACAACUCUGGCCUAGCUGCCUGCCCUGCCCCUGGGAGUGCAGCCCUGCAGCCUUGGUGAACCACCUCUGCCAGUGAGUACUUUGCUGCUGAGAGACAUUUCCUUCAAGACUUCUAUAUUUGGACUAAAGCUUUUUGCACCUUUCAUCUCAGCUUGCAGAGCUGCAAUGAAUUUGUAGUUAAGAUUCUAAACUACAUAAAACACUGAAAAAAAAUCCACUCUCUUAAGCAAUUUUCGUGCAUCUCUCUAGAGUGCUGAUGUUACCAGGGUGAUUGUGUAGCAGAGCGGAGAGCUGGGAUACACUGGGUCUCUGUUUUGGGGCUGGUGGCCUGCAAAGUUGCUCUGACUGCAUUUACCCCCUUCCAAAACAGACCUUGCUCUAGUGGCUCUUUGACUCUCUUGCAUGUAUGCCUAUGUCUUUCUUAACAUGAGCUAUAGAAAUUUCAGUCAUUACAGUCCUGAGGCUGCAAACCUGCAUAGAUAGAAAUCCAUGCUUAUUUUGCAUUUUAUUUCCCUGUGUACCGAAUGGGAAAAUUGGAUGGCAUAUUGGAAGAGGUUCAGCUUCUCAGGAGAGGUGCUGCCCAACUCCACUGAAAUCUGGAUUCAUAGGUAGAAACUGAUAAUGUAAGAACACCUUUUAGAUGUGCUGUUGGUUGAUCUCUGUGUUACACCCGUAGAGACACAGGAAAAUAAAGCUUUUUGUAGAAGUCCAGAUCUGCUGCACAACAGUUAAAUCUCUGACUGGUUCGUCACUGUCCAGAAAACCCAUGUAUGCUACGUGGAGAAGUGUCACAAUGUGAGAUGGAAUGGCUAAAAACCCAUUAGUCCCCUAGUAAAUCUGCUUUGAAGACAGUAAGGGCUAAUCUGGUCUAUUGAGCUCAGUACAAUACUCCCCUGGGCAGACCAGAUUUACAGCACCUCCAACAAGUGCAAGUGCAGAUCAUCAUUUCUGCCUCAGGGGGUUGGCUCUGGUUGCUAAGUUUGCGGAGCAGUGGCACAUUUGAAUUCUUGUUUACAGUUAUAGCCAGAGGAUUUUCAUUUGGGUUGUACUUAUUUUCAACUCUGAACUUUAAUAAUAUUGAAAUUUUAAGAGUUAAUUGCCCAAGUCAGUUUUCUUCCCACUCUGUCUUCAUUCAAGAAUGACUAAAGGAUUUUGAUGCUGUGAAAGUUGAGUUGUUAUCUAAAUAGAGCAUUGGAAUAAAUAUAUCUGUCCAUCUGAGCUUAACCCAUGACCCUUUCCCUCUUGAGACUAUGAUGUCACAUCCAUCCUUUCUCCCAGAGUCACCAGAAUCAUUUAUUGCAAAGCACACCACUAUGGUGUGAAACAAGCUAAAGAUGGCAAUGACUUUGCUAGAGACCUACUCGCUUUCAAAAAUCAGGAAUAACUCUGUUGAUGACAAAUAAGCUGUGCUGAAUACAACUUGGGCCCUGGGCCUAAUGAUGCAAGAGUCUGGACACUACCCCCAGCAGGACCAGAGAACAAUGAUGUCUCUGGGACCUCCCUGCUCAGCCAGCCAUGGAAAUCCCCUGGCACAGGCUCAGCCUGAAGCUGCUGCUUUAAACAGUCAUGGCUAAGCAAGCUGACUUUGCUAUAUGCAGAAACUGUUCUCUUGUGACAAGACACGGGAGAAAAAUGCUGAGAAUCACUCUGGGCUGGGGAUCCUGACCUGCCUUUGUGUUGUUAUUGGUUUUGCAAAAGGCAACUUUUAUUUCUACCACAUAAACUUUCAGACUUCAGCAGCAGCUGUAUGAUGCCUUUCCAUUCUCACUGCUGGGUGAAGGUUAUUGCAUCCAGUGGUAAAUCAUGGGGUGCAUUACAGUGGAAAAAUGUUAUUUUGCAUAAACAACCCUCUUGAACACUCCCAAGCUGGUCUCCAGCCUGUUUCUGGGACAGAGCCAUGCCAUGUUACUCCUUCUGGCAAAACCACGUAAGUAAUAAAUAAUGAAGGAAAACUGCGAAGAGACACACAAGAUUCAGGUUUUUGAUUCUGAGGCCUUUAUCCAGUCAGGGGGAAAAUUCCUGUUCUUUUUUUUUGAGCAGUAUGGAAAAUAAAUCUGAGAGUUUGUUUACAGAUAAAGAAAAUAUACAAAAAUGCAAUGGGAUGAGUGUAAAACUUUCCAUACUGAAUCUCUGUGCUUACACAGAAAGAAUAGUGGUCUAUUUUUUAAGUUCUUCCACCUUUGUCUUGUUACUCAACAGGGACAAUAUUUGUUUCCUUGUUUUGAUGUUUUAAGGUGAGAACUGAUCCAUAGACUUUAUGCUCUGUGUCACUUACAGGAAGAUGGAAAUUUAUGCGGGAUACAUUUCUCCUCACUAUUUCUCUUUGGCUAAUCUUUUUAAUAAAAUCUCUGUCCAAGAGCCAAAAAUAAAUAUGAAGCACUUCUGUGCUGAUGGUUGAAGCUGCUAAACCCCUGGAUGUCCCUAUGACACAUGUAUAUCAUAUUCUGGUUUCUGUCUCUGAAUACAUGAGCUCUUUUCCUCCCUCCAAAAGGAUGUAGUUGGCCAAUGGAAGAGGUUUUGUCCUGCUGCUGCUGUUGCUGCCAGUUUCUCAUGUAGUAAAAGUAUAUGAUUACAGUGGUGCUGUAAACUUCAUCACUUUUGAAAGCAUUUCUGCACAUGCUGGACUGUAAAGUGACACUUGCCAGGUGGUUUCUGUGCUCAAAUACAUCUGCUCUGUCAUUGUAACUUUUUCUAAUCAUAAAUGCUGUUGGUUCUGGGCCUGAGUCUCCCUUUAACUUGCACCAUUGAUGUGUUGUAGUAUUUCCUUACAAGUAAAAUUCAUUAUGCCCCUGUCAGUGUCAUGGAAGUACUAACACAGAAGUAGUCUCUGCACAAUUAACAUGCCUGCGGUGGCAGCCCAGCAGUGUGAAGUUUCUGUGGUCUGCUCUGAAACUACACCUAAUCACAGGGCUCUGAGUGAGGUAGACAGGAAUUUCACACUGUUUGGUAUUGCCUCUGAUUUCAGAUAAGAAAACCUUACAUUGUCAGACACACUAUCUCUUAUUUAUUGGAUGACUCUCUUCCAUUUAUGUAAAAAAAUAUUUUACCACAUAAAAAUUGCUGGAAUAACAUUAAAUGGAAGUUAACUCAUUUGCAGGUAUAUUUAAGCUCUUAAAAAUUUCAAGGUAAGUUUGCCAGAAUGUUUUAAACGUGCUGUUUCAGAAGUACCAUAGGUCCUUGGAAAUACCCUUUCACAGAAUGUAGCCUUCUAAAUGUUUAAUUCAACAGCUGAUAAUAGGUUUCAGGCUCUUCAGGCUGAGAGCUUUCAGAAGUUUAUUCAGCUUGUUUAGAUAGAUAGAGCAGAGACACAGCAUGUAAUUGAAUAAACAAUGGUUUAAUUAAUUUUUCAAUCUUGCAGUAUAGUUCAUUUGUACAUGUGAAUGAUAAUCUCUUUGGCAGAUGCCAGUUUCAGAUCGCAAAGUAGUGUUCCACUACAGGGAGAAGAAAUGGCUUUUCAGUCCCCAUCUGUGUGUUACUUCUGAAAAAAGCACUAUAAAUCUCAUCUCUAUUUUUAUAGAUAAUACAGAAAUAUUAUGAUGCUUGUUUGCAGGUUGAAAUUUCAUGGCCUUAGAUCUCCUGUUUAAUAGCAGUUUGUCUUUCACUUCAGCAUGAACUAGACCCUUUCCUGGGAGAAUGCAGGUGGAGUGUCUAGAUCCAGUUUGUACAGCACCUUCAUCAGCUUCCCAGGGACAUGGGCUUAUUUGCAGACCUGUCCAGCAGUGGAGGCUGGUGCAUGAUGGCCUGAGGGUAUGUGGAGACCCUGACAGGCAUUGGUCAGGUUGGCAGGUUUGGAUGAAGAACCACAGAAGCUUUGUUUGCUUUCUCUCUUCCAAACACAUGGCUGGGAAUAAGAAAUGUCUGAGCAUGCACAAUUUGGCUAUUCCUACUUUAAAUUCUAAUAUGUAGUUUCAAGCUUUGGGGUUGUGCUUUUGGCUUGGUUUUUUGCUUGUUUGUUUGGAUUCUUUCUACUGAAGCAAACAGAGCAUUUGUAAAGUGCAGAUGUAUUUUGAAAAACCACAAUAAAAUGAAAGAAAAUCACAAUAAUUACAAAGACUGAGUAAAGGUCAAAGAUAGAGUUGGUCAAAGUCAUCACCCAAACUUGCUCUGUAGUUUUCCUGUGGUGCGUCACAGCUCUUCAGACUUAUGCUGGGCACUGCCAGUGCUGUUUGCUUGAUUGUCUAUCUCCAUGUUUCAGUCUUUUUAUAGAAGUCCUGAGCCCACAGCUGCAUGAAGAAAUAACAUACAGACAAAGGUUGAGACUUCAUAUUAAACACAAGAAUGUUUUUGAUCCUCCAUUGAGCUGAAGUAAUCAGACUGAGACCGUAAAACCUCUGUUUUUUCUCAGAUUUGUCUUACAGUGCCACUUUUAGGAUCCUGGUAUUUUUACCAUUUUUAACGUGUUCUAUGACAAUGAUUCCAGGAAAAGAGGCAAGCAGAAAAUUAUUGAGAACACUGACUCAGGUGAUGUGGCUGGAGGAUCAUAGGAGGAAUUUAGCACCUAUUACAAAAAUAACUAUGUAGAAAUGUCCAGGCUUUGAGACAGGGAUUUCGGUUAUGAUUGAAGUAGCUAGAGGUUGCGCAAUAAACGUGUAACAAGAUAACAUUAAAUUUACCUUGCCCUUUGUGUUUUUCAACUCCACUGAUAAGGAAAUACAUUAAAAUUUAAUUAUAAGGAGAAUUUGGAUGAACAUUCAUUGAAAUAAGCGUCAGCAAAGAUUUUAUCAUUCUGAUCAGACGAAGCACAUGAUAGAAAGGCAUUGGUUACAUAAAUCACCUCAUCUUGUAGCAUCUGAAGAUUAUGCAGAUUGAAAACAAGCAAUUCAGGGUCUCUUGAAAGGAAUUAGAAUGAGUGUAGAAACUCCUAAGCAAGUUUAAAUUUCCAAGGAAAGAUGUUUUCUGGCCUGCACGAUUCUGAACAAUAAUCAACUAAUACAGCAACUAAUAACUCUCGUAGUAGAGAUCUGCACAAAAGUAGUGAAGGAGACCUCUCACAUCCCUCCAGACCCAGAAAACUUUGGAAAGCACGAGUAUAAGGAGCUGUCAUCUACAGUGUUGGCUGGCUUUCUGGCAGGAAGGCUGUGUCCUCUCCACUCUACAUUCACUGGAAAAGCCUUUGGAGUUUGCUGUAGAGGGCUUUACUAAUUUCUGGAAUGUCCUUUGUGCUAAUAGAGUUGUCUCUGGCCUGAUGCAGUAAGAAGUUUCUUCUAAAAAAAAAAAUAGGCAAAACCAAGAAACAACAAAUCCAACAACUACAAUAAAAGGAUUUAGAAACAAAACCGAAUAAGUUUAUAAUAGCAGACUGACUGUUAACCUUUCCUGUACACAGACUGUUCUGAUUUAUUUUUGGAAGGUGGCACUAAGCUCUAGAUCUAUUCAUGAAUGCUCUGAGAAAUGUAUUUUCACUUUAUUACAGGACACAAGAUCCCACAACUCUCUCAUCUUCUUUCCUUUCACUUUCUACCUUAGUUUUAAAGACUUUUUUCUCCUGGCUCCUCCAUUAUAUUCCUUGGCUUUUUACAGAAGUACAACUUCUGUGUGCCAAACUCUUUUCACAUAAUGUAACUAAAUUCAUAUGUCCACUUCAUACAAUUGAACACGAAUCUCUGGCAGAUGCUCUCUCAAAAUCUGGCUGCCACUUCAGCCUUUUUCAUUCCAUGCAGGUUUUUAAGAGAUUUUUGCACAUGUAGCUUUAACUUUUGGCAACUGGAAAACAAAUACACCUUCUUUCCUGCUAUAGAUUUCAAACAAUUUUGUAAAGACUUGGUUCCCAGUUUUUGCAUUCAAAGAACAGUGACUUGGAAAUUAGCUGUUCUUUUUUCCUAGCCCUUACUGUUUUCCAAAGAUUUGAAGAUUUUUCUUUAAAAAAAUGUGGAAACUCCAGCAUUUUGCCUAAAGUUCCUCUGUCCUAAUCCAAUUUCUUUGAAGCACAGGUUGGAUCAGCAGCUUGUACUUGGUUGCAGAUGUUGUUCUGCCUCUUACUUGCCAAGCUACAUGAGUCUGCUGAAGAAGUGAAAGCGGUGGGUUUUGUCUUGUGUUUGUCCAUCACAUUUAAAAGCAACUCAUCAAAAUUAGCUCUGCCAGUUUUCUGUGUUUUCUUUAGAGAGAAACAAGCACAACAGUAUUCAAGCUUCUGCAACAGUCAAAAGUCUAUUCAGUUUCGUUAUCUGAAUACUACCAUUUUGGAUUAUAUGUCUGUGAAAUGAAGUUAUAUUUUCAUGUAUCCUUGUUCUGUGACCAAGCUCUAUAACUUAAAAAGAUCAAACACUAAAAGAUGUGUGCACAGUGUACUUUUACUGCACUGAGACUGAAAAAAAAAUCAGGCUGUAAAAACUGCCUGAGCUACCAAAAGGAGUUGUGAGGAAGUAUAAGUGCUUCCAAAGAUAUGUAGAGAGAAUAUGUGUUUAUAUAGUAAACUAAUUUCAAACAAAAGCAAUUUAUUUUGUCUGGAGAUUCACAUGGUAUGUAAUGCAGUUGAAUUAGAAAAACAAGAACAAGGAGCUUGGAAAUUCUUACCUAUUUAAAAGCUGCACUAGGCACUUUCUAUUUUAGAAUAAGAUUUAAUUACAUUCUGUAAAAUGCAUUGGCAGGACAGUCAUUUUCUCACCAGCAGGUAACAGCAGUUCCAAAAAAUGUGCUUUCUCCAAUGUAGCUGUAGGAACUGUUGCUGCUUAGAAACUAGCAUAGCCAUUAAUCAAAAUGAAAAGAACAGACUGUUAUAUAAAGUAAUCAUUUUACCAGACAAGUACUUUGAGUCUGCCUAAAACAGAUGAUCAGAACAUAUUACCCAGUUCUUGGUUUAUUGUCUCCAUAAAAACUUGGAAGAAUACAUCUCUGGUCUUUUUUUAUUUAUUUUUUUUAAUUUCUCCCAGGGACAAAUAUAAUGUUCUUUCUCAAGGUUUUGGUGGUUUGGUUUUUUUGUUUUGUUUUGUUUGUUCGUUUUUUGUUUUUCUGUUGUUGUGGAGUGUUUUGGGGGGUUUUUUGUUGGUUUUAUUUUAUAUAUAUAUUUCCAGUUCUUGCAACAUUUUUUUCUUAUUGGUGUCUGGCUUAUUACUGCGGUAGUUCAAGCACACACAUAGUCCACUGUGAUGGCACUGCAGUUGCUGAAAAGGAGUGAAUAUCAAUGGGAAGCUUCACUGAGGGUGUUGUUAUCAGGAGUUAGGUUGCUGGUAGCAACCAUGGAAACGUUCAGGAUCAUCUGAAGUAGUCUAAGGAUAAGUAAUAGGAUGAAAGCAAUUUAUGCUGAUUCUUAGGGAAAAAUAAACUGUUAAUGUUGCAUCCUGUUAAAUUACAUAAAAGGUCACUAGGGAACAGGUAGGUGAUCGGAGUAGUUUUAAACUGGUUUGGAUUAAGAAAUUUGAGGUUCUCUUGCAGGAAGGGGUUUUGGCAGGAGGAGGGACCCUCCUGAUCCUAGUUUAAUCUCUCAGUCACCUUUACUCUUUUACAGUCCCUUUUUUAGGGAUAUGUUAUGCUGAUUACUUGUGACUCAUGCUCUCCUGAAUAGGUGAGUAUUUGCAAAACCAUGUCUUUUCCUACUACUUCAUAUUGUUACAGUGGCUGCAGUAUUUUCCAAUUUCAAUUUCAAUUCUUUUUAUGCUGAAGUGGUGCCAGAACACAGAUUACCUCCUCCUGGUCCUCCCACAGGCAGUGUAUCACUGGCAAAAAGAUAACACUAAAUUGCUUUAUUUUACAGUGUUCUUGGUGUCCAUUACAACAAAGGUAUUAUAAUAAUUUUUAUUGUAUUGAAUCUGCACAAAUAUUAUAAAGCUUUUUCCUCAUUUGAUUGACAAAACCACCAGAAACACCAAAGAAAAAAAAAAAAAGGAGCUUCCUUGAUUCAGUAUGCAUACCAGGAUGACUGGUAAGCUCCAUGUUGUAAAAGACAGUGAUCCUUUAUGUGGCAUUCUCGUGAAUGAUGCCUUACAUUAUAUCCUGCUUAGACAGAAAAUUUUUGAUGCUCCUAUGAAAAACUGAGAUGGAAAUGAAACAGGCAAUUUCUUUGAAGAAGGUGGUAAAUGUUUUUGAUAUUUCCUCACUUUUAUUAUUGUAGAACUUUCCACUGAUGAACCCAUGCAAGUAACUUACACAGAAGUUUUGUUCUGUGACUCUUUGAGACUCACAACAAAGUUCCUCCUCUCCCAGGCAGACUUCAUCUUACAUACAGUUUGUAGACUCUGCAACAGCAGAAUAUGAAGAAGAGGAACUGCACAAACCCUCCCAUGUCUCAUUAGUAAGGAUGUUUCCCAUAACUUCAGAGUAGCAUAUACCUCCAGCCUGUUCUUCGUGAAGAAAACAUGAUGACUUCUUAAGGCACAGACACCAAUUUCUCUGCUUCUGGAGUUCACUAAUGCUCAGACGAUGGGAAUUCAUUACCGUGCAAACCCAAUAAUGUUGAAGCUUCAAAGCUGUAUCCAGAGUAGCAACUGGAGCAGGCCAUCUCAAGAACCACCAUGGCUCAUGGAGAUCUUCAAACAGACUUAAUGCAGAUGCUGGCAGCUCAGAGUUCAGCAUGAGCUCAUUCAGCUGCCUUCUUGGCACUGGACUGGCCUGUGGCUACUCAGGGGUGAAGCUACGAAAACUACUGACCUGCUCACAGUGUCACAUCACCUGAGGACAGAUACUGAUCAAGCGAGAGCUCCCUCCUAGGAUUUACCUGGAUCAUCACUGCUACAGGUUAAAGUCAUCACAGGAUUUCAAAACAAACAACAAAGAAAUCAAAAACCCAUUUACUUCUUUUACAGUGUGAACUGGUACAUUAAAAUCUGUCAUCAAGUUAUACUCAAUAUUAUGCUGCAUUCACAAUUUUUUUACUUUCGGAUUUCCUUUCUUUUUUCAAGACAAAUGUCUGGGAAAAACAGAAAACAACAAGCUGUUGCUACAUUCACCAUGCUGGACUCUUGUUCCAAAUGUCAUUUUCACUCAUGCUGCUUGGUAAGAUCAUAUGAGAAAUGACAUAGAAAGGUCACAGAAUCGUCACUUCUGUAUUAAAAUGGAAUAGCCUCUUGUUUGCUGUGCUUCUUCACAAUUUUCAGACCUUAAUGUGAGUAAAUGAGUGGCAUAUAAAAGGCAUUUAAAAAUUCAGUCCAUUUUGUUUUAUCUAGAAAACAGAAAUAGAACUUGGCAACUUCUGUGUGUUUUCUUGAUAGCAGAUAUUUAGAGAAAUAUCCAACUACAUGAAGAACUAUUUAUCAAAAUAAACAUGCUAUCUAUAUGUAAACACCUCUACCUGUUGCAGAGAUUACUUUUAUAUCCCCAUUUUUCUCCAGUCUUGGAGGCAUAUUGUUGCACUUGAAGUGCUGAUAAAAAUGAUUGGGUUCUGCUGACCACAAAAUGGGAAAUGUCAAAUAGAUCGAAAUCCACAGAUUAAAGUGAAAAUAAUUGCUAAACUUGCUACUGUCGCUUGAACAGGUUUGCUUGGCAACACAAUGUCCAUAUUAAAUAGACAACUGUAAUAGAUAAAUGUCUUUCCAGUCCAAAAAGAACGCCUUACAUUGUAACUGGCUAUAAACAUUAGCAUUCCAUCCUAGUGGGUGAAUGUUGUUAUGAGAUUAGGCACUAAACAUCCCUCAUUACUUUUUAGAAAUCAUACUAGCUGCUGCCUGUCAGCACCUAAAUAUCUGUGACCAUCUGGUGCACAUGAAUAAAUAUUUAAAGGUGCAUGAUAAUGUGUAGUGUAGAAACAGAUGCAGUUCUUUAGUAUGUGGAAAAGAAGAGCUCAUGCUCCAGACUAAACUACUUUCCUGACUUGAGACACAACUGAAAAACUCACCCAAAAGCAAAGGGCUUUAUUGUCACUGGAUCCAGCUCCUGGUGCUGCAGGCAAGGCAGCUACUGCCUUCAGCAAACUCCAGCCCAAACUGAUGCAGACGUCUUGUCCCUUCCUCCUGGCUCGCCAUGCAGCACCUAUGCACAGCUCACCUCCCCUUCCUCAGCUCUGGCUACAUGGCAAAGCCUUAUUUAAAAUCUAGUUCAUACAGUGGCUCUGCUCCAGGAUGGAAUUAGAGGGAGGACAAGAUCAGCAGGAAUGUGGUUGUUGAAGAGUGGGGCAGACGUUCUCAGACAGCUGGAAAAGGCCACUUGCCUUCCUGAAAGUCUAACGUGCUCUUCCCCUGCAUCUCUUCCAACACUUCAGUGGAAAAAACUCUGUAAAGAGACAGAAUUUUUUACAUGGCUCAGUUUCACAGCACACCUGGUUCCUGAGUGGAAUGGGCUAUUAACUAAUUGAAGGUCCUAUGAAAAUAUUUCAGGAGGAGGAAGGAUUGGAACCGGAUAUCAAGGUUAGAACUGUUGCAGCUUCAGCUCUGUACUCAUCAAAAAGUUUGUCCAUUAGCUAAGGCUCUGCUAAAAAGUUCUUGAUAUAGCAUUUUUUUCCAUUUGUUUUCUGUUUAAUAUUAGCUAUAUUAUACCCCUGAACGUGGCAUAGUCUUUCAACAGGAAAAUAUAUGCCUGCUUAAAUAUUGAAGUUCCACAAAAUAAAAUUGAUAUUAACUUUAGAUCCUGUAAUUAUGUGGAAAAUAAGUAGUCAUCGCUGAUCUCUUUCUUUUCAUAGCAGAAGCAAAAUUAUUCUUCGUGUUUUAAAUUAAAAUUUGAAAUGUAGUUUUUUUAAUGUUCUUCAGUGUGCCACAUCGUUUUAUUUAUAACUAACAUGACUCAGUUUAAUAGAAGGCAAAAGGACAGAGGAGAGACUAUUUAUUUUAAUGGUCUGUAAAAUGAUAAAAUACCAGCAGAAACAGGAUAAAAUCAGUGAGAAAGUAUUUGUUGAUGGGAAAAAAAAAUAGCAUUAUAAUCAGAUAAUUUUUAGUCAGCCCAUUUGGAUGAUAUUUUUAACAAAAAUACAUGUAGUACAUACUAUUAUUUCUUCAAAAUAAAUGUCUACUGUUAAGCUAUUAAUGUUUUUAUUGGGUUGUGAAAUAAAAAUUUAUAGCCUU